UCCCUGCAAUACAACAGAUUAUCAAACUUCAGUUGAUAUCUUGUUGUUUGUUGUUUUUAGUUGUUGUGUGGCCCUUUUGGGGUCCUACUCUAUUGUAAUGCCCAGUUUGGGUUUCUUCUAUUUAAUAUAAUCAGUACCUCCCCUGCCUGAUUCUUUAAAAAAAGGAUAUUUCAGCUAAUAAUAUAUAUCCAGCUGUACCAAUACUCACAUCAUAGAACUAAGCAUUUAUUUGCCUUCAACAUUAAUUAAGAAAAUAUGGUAGUAUAAAUUAUGCUGAUAUAAUGUGCUUUUAAUCUACUCUAAGAUUAACUUCUGUAUUAGAAUGCCAACAAUGUGCUCUCCUCUAAGGAGUCAGGAGUUUUCGAUGUUGUCCCCUAGGUAUAGACAAUUAGGUAGUGGAUAUUUCCAACAAAAAAAAAGAAAGAAAGAAAAAGAGGUAGUGGAUAAUAAGCCAGCUCUAGGGGAAGUAUCUGUAUUUGCUGACACACACAGGCAGUUGUCUGUUUUGACAAUUAGGUAGUGGAUAUUUCCAACAAAAAAAAAAGAAAGAAAGAAAAAGAGGUAGUGGAUAAUAGGCCAGCUCUAGGGGAAGUAUCUGUAUUUGCUGACACACACAGGCAGUUGUCUGUUUUGUUAGAAAAAGAAAAGAAAAAUAUUGGACAAGAUGUCUCUUGGACAUGGAUACAUGUAAGCGGAAUCAACUUGGAUUCAGGUAGUCUGCAAAACUGUUUGAGGUGAAUGCAGAACAGUUUCUCAGCCAUGUAUAUAAAAUAAAAUUCCAGUCUGUAACAAGGCAAUACACACGGCCAUUACAAAUAAAAUAAAAUAAAAAGAUAGAAAGAAACCAACAGGGAGCUAGGGGAUCUACCAAGCCUACCAUUAAACUUUGGAAAAAAAAAGACAUCAUAUAGAAUUAACUGCCAUAACAUGACAUGAACAUCCAUUCCAACAUUUGGAAAACUCUAAGGCAAUAAACAUGGCAAACGUCAUCUUGUGGAAUACACAUAAACAUAUAUUAGUCAAACAAAUGACUAUCAGAACAAAUUGAAAGGCAUAAUCA
rnacentral:lncRNA from 1 species